rnacentral:lncRNA from 1 species
CUAGAAUCAUUGGAACUGUAAAUGUCUAAUCCAAGUACUGUUAAAAAAAACAGCUUGCAAGAAAUGUCAACAUCUCCUACAAGAAAAUCAGAAACUACGCCGGGAGCUCAGCACGCUAAAAAGUCACAAAUAAAGAGACUGAGAAUCUCCACAUUUGACCUCCCCGUCUCACUUGUCCAAAUUUAUGACGACUAUGAUGACUAUGAUUGUACAUGAAUAAAGAAAUGUAAUGUUUUUUCCAAGCAGAGAAGCUUUUGUUGUCAUAAUUAUUAUAUGGGGUAAAUGGACUGCAUUUAUAUAGCAUAUAUAUAUAUAUAUAUUCAACUCAUAGAGCACUCAAAGCGCUUUACAGAUGAACGCCUCAGACAUCAUUCAUACACCGAUGGCAGAGUCUACUAUCUAAGUUGCCUAUCUAAGUCUAUAUUACUGUUUGAAGUUCUGCCUGGUCCUGAAGCCCCAAUGCAUUAUUGACACACUGAGAGUCAUUGGCUGUGAUAGACGUUCUGAGAACUACACAAAUCCUCAUUUUCUUUUUUUCCAUUGUUUCUGGAUUCCAAGUAAUUGCACUAUUGGUACAAACAUGUUGACAGAGUAUGCUACUCCACACACUGGCCAUUAACUUUGCCUUGUGUGCCGAAAUAUUGUAUCUAAUAUUAUAUUCUCCACUUUCUCAGUAUAACUUAUCUUUUGAAUUAGCUGUGAACAUGAUGGGCUCCUGAUUUCAUUUGGAGUCUUUGGUUUCGUAAACAAUCUAACAUUGACAAAUGUAAAACACCUUCCAGUAAUGUUCUUCUGGCAAAGUGAAGUUUACUAACACCAUUUAAAACAUUCUGUAACUCUUUAUUAAACACUAUUAUUGUCCCUGCUUCUGUAAAUCAGGAUCACUCAUAUGUAACUGUUUUGAUCAUGGAAGGAUGUCUACUUGUGAAUGAAGUCUCGUUUACGGCUUUCAUUCUCAAUCAGUAUACCUGUUGCUGUUUUACAUUGUGUAUGACCUUGUCUUAACAUACUGUGUUGUGUGGUGUCAUGACUAAACGGUCUUCCUGUGAGACUCAGAUUAAGAGUCAGACAUGUUAAUAAACCACUGUGAAUUAAAACCA